ensembl:snRNA U6 U6 spliceosomal RNA
AUACUCACUUUGGCAGCACAUAUAGGAAAACUGGAACGAUACAGAGAAGAUUAGCAUGGCCUCUGUGCAAAGAUGACACACAAAUCCGUGAAGAAAACGUGAAAAAGCAAUAUGGAUUUUU